rnacentral:rRNA from 1 species
GAUGAACGCUGACAGAAUGCUUAACACAUGCAGGUCCUUGGCGAAGCUGCGCUUGCGCAGUCUAGCCAAGGCGGACGGGUGAGUAACGCGUAAGGAACUUGCCCUGCAGACAGGGAUAACAGACGGAAACGACUGAUAACACCUGGUAUUGUCAGGCUGGCGCAUGCCGGCCUGAUGAAAGGAGACGCUGCAGGAGAGCCUUGCGUCCUAUUAGCUAGUUGGUGGGGUAACGGCCCACCAAGGCGAUGAUAGGUAGCCGGCCUGAGAGGGUGAACGGCCACAAGGGGACUGAGAUACGGCCCUUACUCCUACGGGAGGCAGCAGUGGGGAAUAUUGGACAAUGGGGGCAACCCUGAUCCAGCAAUUCUGUGUGCACGAAGAAGGUUUUCGGAUUGUAAAGUGCUUUCAGCAGGGAAGAAGAAAGUGACGGUACCUGCAGAAGAAGCGACGGCUAAAUACGUG